rnacentral:lncRNA from 1 species
CUGGAUCUCACUGGAUCCUUCACUGCUAAAGGGGUCCGAACGCAGCCCGGGAAAAGAAAGAAAGCAGGACCCCCAUCGCAGGAGUCGGAGGCACCCCCCGCGAGGCGGGGACUGAGAGAGAGCUCCUCUUCCCCCCCAGGAUCUUAGGACCCCCAUCGCGGGGGGGGAGGCACUCCCGCCAGGAUCCCCAUCGCAAGGGGGGAAGACACCGCCCACGAGUCGGGGACUGAGAGCCAGCCCCUCUUCCCCCGCUGGCUUAGGACCCCCACCGCGGAUUCUAAGAUCCUUAGCACCCACCUGGAGGACUGGGGGUUUUAGGUGUCCAAGAAGAAAGCUCAGACCUGCCGACCGCAGGACCUCCAUCGCAGCGGGGCAGGCACACACCGCGAGGCGGGAACUGAGAGCCAGCCCCUCCCACCUCUGGCUCUUAGGACUCACAUUGCAAGUGGGGGAGGCAUCCUCCGCGAGGCGCGGACUGAGAGCCAGCCCCUCUUCCCCCCCUGGCUCUAGGGACCCCCAUCGCAGGGGGUGGAGGCACCCCACGCGAUUCGGGGACUGAGAGCCAGCCCCUCUCCUUCCCCCUGCUCUUCGGACCCCCAUCGCAGGGCGGGGAGGCACCCACCGCGAGGCGGGGACUGAGAGCCAGCCCCUCUACCCCCCGUGGCUCUUAGGAGCCCCAUCGCAGGGUGGGAGGCCACCCGGCGAGGCGAGGAUUGAGAGCCAGCCCGUCUUCCCCCCUUGGCUCUUAGGAGCCCCAUCGCGGGUGGGGAAGGCACCCCCCGCGAGGCAGGGACUGAGAGCCAGCCUCUCUUCCUCCCGUGGCUCUUAGGACCCCCAUCGCAGUGGGGGGAGGCACCCCCCGCGAGGCGGGGACUGAGAGCAAGCCCAUUUCCCCCCCCCCCGGCUCUUAGGACACCCAACGCAGAGGGGGGAGGCACCCCCUGCGAGGCAGGAACUGAGAGCCAGACCCACUUCUCCCCGGCUCUUGGGAUCCCCAUCGCGGGGAGGGGAGGCACCCCACACGAGGCGGGGACUGAGAGCCAGCCCCUCUUCCCCCCCUGGCUAUUAGGACCCCCAUCGCAGGGGGGAGAGGCACCCCCCGAGAGGCAGGGACGGAGAGCCUGCACCUCUUCCCCCACGGGCUCUUAGGACCCCCAUCGCAGGCGCUUCGCACCCCACGCGAGGCGGGUACUGAGAGCCAGCUCCUCUUUCCCCCGUCUCUUAGGACUGCCAUCGCAGAGGGGGAGGUAACCCCCGCCAGGCAGGGACUGACAGCCAGCCCCUCUUCACCUCUGGCUCUUAGGCCCCCAUCGCAGAGUGGGGAGGCACCACAUGCGAGGCGGGGACUGCGAGCCAGCCCCACUUCCCCCCUGGCUCUUGGGACCACCAUCGCAGUGGGGGGAGGUACACCCCGCGAGGCGGGGACGGAGAGUCAGCCCCUCUUCCCCCACUGGCUCUUGGGAACCCCAUCGCAAGGGGGAGAGGCACCCUCCGCGACGCGGGGACUGAGAGACAGCCCCUCUUCCCCCCCUGGCUCUAGGGACCCCCAUCGCAGGGGGUGGAGGCACCCCACGCGAUGCGGGGACUGAGAGCCAGCCCCUCUCCGCCCCCCCCGACCCCGCCCGGGUCUUCGGACCCCCAUCGCAGUGGGGGGAGGCACCCCAUGCGAGGCGGGGUCUGACAGCCAAACCCUCUUCCCCCUCUGGCUCUUAUGACCCCCAUAGCAAGGGGGGAGGCACCCCCCGCGAGGCGGGGACUAGAGCCAGCCCCUCUUCCCACCCUGGCUUAGGACCCCCAUCGCGGAUCCUAAGAUCCUUAGGACCCAACUGGAGGACUGUGGGUAUUAGGUGUCCAAGAAGAAAGCUCAGAUCUGCCGACCGCAGGUACCUUACUUGGGAUUUACUAUACCACAGGGGUCCGAACGCAGCCCGGGAUCAGGAAGAAAGCAGGUCGUUUGCAAUCUACCGGAGCCUAAGGGCAGAAGGCAGGGGUCCGAAUGCAGCCCGGGAUCACAAAGAAAGCAGGUCGUUUGCAAUCUACCAGAGCCUAAGGGCAGAAGGCAGGAUCGUGGGAACAAUAUCCCAUGGGGGUGUACCCUUUCUGCCAUAUAUGUAGUCACAUCACCCACUCCGCCUUGGAAUAUUAUUAAGGACCAUCUAACACGAGGGUGUAUACGUCCUGUGAUAUUGGGAGUAAUAUCAACUUCUCGGCCUCUGAAUAUGAGGAAGAAUAUCACAGGGAUAUUAAUAACAAUUUCACAGGCUGGGUGAACACAGCCGGCGAUGCUGAAAUUAUUAUCAUCCUCUCCCCCUCUUCCCCUCCUGGCUCUCAGUCCCCGCCUCACGGGUUAUGUAGCGGGUUAUGGCAAGAAGACAAACUGCAGUUUCCUGCACAGAACAGCACAAACAAUGAUCCAAGCUCAGUUACAACACAAUAUUGGUCAUCAUUUGACCAUGGACUUCAAUAUCAACCCUUAGAAACCUUCCUAAAACAGGUCAGCAAAACACCAAGAAGCAAUAUCCUGAAUGAUAGGAAAAUAUCCUUGCUUGUGCAAAUUGUUUCCACUUAAUUUUUUUCAACAAAUGUUAAUUAUAUUUUUACUUUCUAAAAAUUUUUAAUAAAAUAUAGCCUACUUGGUUAAAAAUGGUGUCAAAGCUUUUCUAAAAGUUA